AGGGCGUGUGGCGGAUGCCUUGGCACUGAAAGCCGAUGAAGGACGUGGUAUACUGCGAUAAGUUACGGGGAGCUGUAUGCAAGUUUUGAUCCGUAAAUUUCCGAAUGGGGAAACCCAACACUUCGUGUGUUACUUUAUACUGAAUUCAUAGGUAUAAAGAGUGAACCUGGAGAACUGAAACAUCUAAGUAACCAGAGGAAAAGAAAUCAAUUGAGACUCCGUGAGUAGUGGCGAGCGAAAGCGGACUAGGCCAGCAACUUAGUUUAGAUAAUUUGAAUAGUUUGGAAAAACUAACCACAGAGGGUGAUAGUCCCGUAUAAGUAAUGUUUAACAAAAUUCUUGAGUAAAGCGGGACACGUGAAAUCCUGCUCGAAUAUAGGGGGACCACCCUCUAAGCCUAAAUACUCUUCAGUGACCGAUAGUGAACUAGUACCGUGAGGGAAAGGUGAAAAGAACCCCUAUUAGGGGAGUGAAAUAGAACCUGAAACCGCAUGCCUACAAUCAGUCGAAGCUCUUUUUAGAGUGACGGCGUACCUUUUGUAUAAUGGGUCAGUAACUUAAUUUAUUAAGCAAGCUUAAGCCAUCUAGGCGUAGGCGCAGCGAAAGCAAGUCUUAAUAGGGCGAUUAGUUUAAUGAAUUAGACCCGAAAACGAAUGAGCUUACCAUGAGCAGGUUGAAAGCAAGGUAACACUUGCCGGAGGACCGAACCAGUUGACGUUGAAAAGUCUUUGGAUGACUUGUGGUAAGGGGUGAAAGGCCAACCAAAUUCGUAGAUAGCUGGUUUUCCGCGAAAACUAUUUAGGUAGUGCGUUGAAUAAAUAUGCGUUUAGAGGUAGAGCACUAAAUGGGCUAGGGGGAAGAGAUUCUUACCAAACCUAAUAAAACUCCGAAUGCUGAACGUAGUUCUUCAACAGACAGACUGUGGGUGCUAAGGUCCAUGGUCGAGAGGGGAACAGCCCAGAUCACCAGAUAAGGUCCCUAAAUCAUGAUUAAGUGUGAAAGGAUGUGGAGAUUCCUUAACAGCCGGGAGGUUGGCUUAGAAGCAGCCAUCCUUUAAACAGUGCGUAACAGCUGACCGGUCGAGGAGGGGGGCGCCGAAAGAUUCUCGGGGCUCAAGCCCGGCGCCGAAGCCGCGGGUCACACAGCCCUCCGGGGCUGUGUGGCGGUAGGGGAGCGUUCCCAGCUGGUUGAAGUCGCACCGGGAGGUGCGGUGGACUGCUGGGAAGUGAAAAUCCUGGCAUGAGUAGGCGAUAAGGGGGUGAGAAGCCUCCCCGCCGAAAGCCCAAGGUUUCCAGGGGAAGGCAAGUCCGCCCUGGGUUAGCCGGCCCCUAAGGCGAGGCCGAAAGGCGUAGCCGAUGGGAAGCGGGUCAACAUUCCCGCGCCAGUCGGGUGGAGACCGGGUCGUGACGCAGGAGGCUAGGCCGGGCCCGCAAUGGAUGCGGGUGCAAGGUAGUAGGGGGACGGGACAGGCAAAUCCGUCCCGUCAUACCCCGAGAGCCGAUGCCGUAAGCCGGCCGACGCCACACUGCCAAGAAACAACGGCACGGUCUGUGAGGCCUGACUGCCCGUACCGGAAACCGACACAGGUGGGCUGGGUUAGGAGCCUAAGGCGUCGGGGGAACUCCCCUCAAGGAACUCGGCAAGUUGGCCCCGUACCUUCGGAAGAAGGGGUGCCCGUGGGGGUGUAGGCCCUCGCGGCCGAAGCCCCCGCGGGUCGCAGUGACAGGGCGGUGCCGACUGUUUACCAAAAACACAGCACUCCGCAAACCCGUAAGGGGAUGUAUGGGGUGUGAAGCCUGGCCAGUGCCCGUAGGUGAACCCCCCGGGUGAUAAGCUCGGGGGUUAAGCCCGGGUAAACGCCGGCCGUAACUAUGACGGUCCUAAGGUAGCGAAAUUCCUUGUCGGGUAAGUUCCGACCUGCAUGAAUGGCGUAACGAUUUCUCCGCUGUCUCCAACAUCAACUCAGUGAAAUUGAAUUCUCCGUGAAGAUGCGGAGUUCGCGUAGUUAGACGGAAAGACCCCGUGCACCUUUACUGCAACUUUACAUUGGUGUUAGGAAAAACAUAUUUAGCAUAGGAGGGAGACAUUGAAGCAAA
rnacentral:rRNA from 1 species